AACCAUGUCUCUCUGCCUGCAAGUAGCCACUCCUAUCCUUUUCUGGACCUCCCUCACCCCUUUUUCCCAUAGGUGACAGUACCGAUGACAAUGCUAUCGAGCGGGUGGUGGCCAAGUACCCAGGGAAACCUAGGGCUGGGGACCCGGAGCCCUUCUCAGGGAUCCCAGCUCUGUGCCCUGUACGCCUUCACUUACACUGGGGCAGAUGGCCGGCAGGUGUCUCUGGCUGAAGGGGACAGGUUCCUACUGCUUCAAAAGACCAACUCAGACUGGUGGUUGGUAAGGCGCCUGGGAACACCCUCCACCUUUCGCCCCAUCUUCAUCCCAGCUGCCUCCAUGACAGAGGAAUUCAGCCCUUCCCAGAGCCCAACAACCAUCACCCCCAGCCAAUCCCUCUGGACUCCUGGGCCAAAGUUACUUCCUGGCUCCCUGGAGGAGAUGCACCUGUGUCAGGAAACCCCAGGCAGAGCCCAGGCUACAUCUGAGCAGCCUCCUCCUCUUCCCCCUAAAAUGUGUAGAAGUAUCAGUGUUAGCAACUUGAGGCCAAGCCUCCUGAAGCCCUUCCAGGAAGGACCAAGUAGAAGAUCCCUUUCCCAGGAAGACUUGCUGACAGACGCCGAUGCGAACAUGGCAAGACCCCAGACCUUCAUGUCAGAGCCCCCUGUGUACUGCAACCUGGUGGACCUUCGCCGCUGUCCCCGGUCCCCACCCACAAGCCCUGCAUGUCCCCCGCUGCAGAGGCUGGACGCCUGGGAGCAGCACUUGGACCCCAACUUUGGACGCUGCUUCUACAUAAAUUCGCUGACUGGCUGCAAAUCCUGGAAGCCUCCACGCCACACUCGCACCCGAGAGAUGAACCCUGGCUCCAUGGAGGGGCCACAGACCAUGAAUAAGGACAACGGUGUCUUGCAACCUCAGGCAAAGGACUCAGAAUCUGGCACAGGGACGCCAGGACUUUUCGACUCCCAGGGUUCACCCUCCCUCUGCAGACUCGCCUCCCAGCUCGACCCCUCAGACCAGCCUUCGGCUCUGCAGUCCCCUCGGCCACUGCCGCAGGUCCUGGACGACCCCCAUGAGGUGGAAAGGUCGGGCAUGCUCAACAUGACGAAGAUCGCCCAGGGCGGCCGCAAGCUCCGGAAGAACUGGGGCCCAUCUUGGGUAGUACUAGCGGGUAACAGCCUGGUGUUCUACCGAGAGCCACCGCCGACCGCCCCCUGCACCGUCUGGGGACCGGCGGGUAGCCGACCCGAAAGCAGCGUCGACCUGCGCGGGGCCGCCCUGGCCCAUGGCCGCCAGCUGUCCAGCCGCCGCAACGUCCUACACGUGAGCGCUCUCCCGCUCAUCCCCGAAGCCCCGCCCGGCCCGAGGAUCCGCACGGUCCCUGGCCACGAGUUCCUGCUGCAGUCAGACCACGAGGCCGAGCUACGCGCUUGGCACUGUGCACUGCGGGCGGUCAUCGAGCGCCUGGAUCGAGAGAACCCCCUGGAGCUGCGUCUGUCCGGUUCGGGACCUGCGGAGCUGGGUGAACUGAGCGCGGGGGAGGACGAAGAAGUGGAGUCCGAGCCGGUGUCCAAGCCACUGCUGCGGAUCAGCAGCCGUCGGAGCUCCAGUCGGUGUCCGGAAGGAGCUGAGCAGAACCGGGUACGAAACAAACUAAAGCGGCUUAUCGCAAAGAGACCGCCCUUGCAAACCCUGCAGGAGCGGGGUCUGCUCCGAGACCAGGUGUUCGGCUGCCAGUUGGAAUCACUGUGCCAGCGGGAAGGGGACACUGUGCCCAGCUUUGUGCGGCUCUGCGUUGCUGCUGUGGAUAAGAGAGGUCUAAAUGUGGAUGGCAUUUACCGGGUGAGCGGGAACUUGGCAGUGGUCCAGAAACUUCGCUUCUUGGUGGACAGAGAGCGGGCAAUCACCUCCGAUGGGAGAUACAUGUUCCCAGAACAGCCAGGACAAGAAGGCCGAUUAGAUUUGGACAGUGCUGAGUGGGAUGACAUUCAUGUGAUCACUGGAGCCCUGAAGCUUUUUCUCAGGGAGCUACCCCAGCCUCUGGUGCCCCCACUGCUGCUGCCCCAUUUUCGUGCUGCCCUUGCACUCUCUGAAUCAGAACAGUGCCUCUCUCAAAUACAAGAAUUAAUAAGCUCAAUGCCGAAGCCCAACCAUGACACUCUACAGUACCUCCUGGAGCAUUUAUGCAGUAGGGAUGACUUACUUGGUGGAGUUGGACCUGGGCAGUGACCUCUGAGAGAGCAUAGCCAUUUGAAUUAAAGCCUCCCAAAUUGUGAGCAGAGAGGACUCUAGGGGCAGUCUCUGAAGUUGGGAAGAGGGUGAUAGCACACUCAGACAAGAACCGCAUGACCUCCCACAACCUGGGAAUUGUGUUUGGACCAACCCUAUUUCGACCGGAGCAGGAGACAUCUGACCCAGCGGCCCAUGCCCUCUACCCUGGGCAGCUCGUCCAGCUGAUGCUCACCGACUACACCAGCCUCUUCCGCUGACUGGGGCAAGGUAGAAGAGAAAA